rnacentral:rRNA from 1 species
GACGUAGGGCGCGAGCGUUGUCCGGAUUUAUUGGGCGUAAAGAGCGUGUAGGCGGCCAGGUAGGUCCGUUGUGAAAACUGGAGGCUUAACCUCCAGCUGUCGAUGGAAACCAUCUGGCUAGAGUCCGGAAGAGGAGAGUGGAAUUCCUGGUGUAGCGGUGAAAUGCGCAGAUAUCAGGAAGAACACCCGUGGCGAAGGCGGCUCUCUGGGACGGUACUGACGCUGAGACGCGAAAGCGCGGGGAGCGAACAGG